rnacentral:misc_RNA from 1 species
AACGCACAUUGCGCCCUUUGGCAUUCCGAAGGGCAUGCCUGUUCGAGCGUCAUUAUCAACCCUCAAGCUCGGCUUGUUGUUGGACCCCAGGGUGAUGCGAGUCUCCCGGCCCCAAAGAUAAUGACGGUGUCUGUAGAACCCUCGGUACAAUGAGCUUCUUCAAGCACGUAUCGAGAUAGGUUCGCGGACCCGGUCUGUAACCACAAUUUCUAAGGUUGACCUCGGAUCAGGUAGGGAUACCCGCUGAACUUAA